rnacentral:rRNA from 1 species
AUUGAACGCUGGCGGCAGGCCUAACACAUGCAAGUCGAGCGAGCGGCGGACGGGUGAGUAAUGUAUGGGGACUGCCCGAUAGAGGGGGAUAAAUACUGGAAACGGUGGCUAAUACCGCAUACUAUCGGAUAACCCAUAUGGGAUUAGCUAGUAGGGGGGGUAGAGGCUCACCGAGGCUACGAUUUCUAGCUGGUCUGAGAGGAUGAUCAGCGACACUGGGACUUAGGCACGGCCCAGACUCCUACGGAGUCAGGUGUGGGGAAUAUUGGACAAUGGGCGCAAGCCUGAUGCAGCCAUGCCGCGUGUCUGGAGAGGGCCUUAGGGUUGUAAAGUACUUUCAGCGGGUAGGCGUUAGCCGCAGAAGAAGCACCGGCUAACUACGUGCCAGCAGCCGCGGUAAUAC